GACGAACGCUGGCGGCGUGCUUAACACAUGCAAGUCGAACGGAAAGGCCCUGCUUGCAGGGUACUCGAGUGGCGAACGGGUGAGUAACACGUGGGUGAUCUGCCCUGCACUUCGGGAUAAGCCUGGUAAACUGGGUCUAAUACCGGAUAGGAGCCAUUUUUAGUGUGAUGGUUGGAAAGUUUUUUCGGUGUAGGAUGAGCUCGCGGCCUAUCAGCUUGUUGGUGGGGUAAUGGCCUACCAAGGCGGCGACGGGUAGCCGGCCUGAGAGGGUGGACGGCCACAAUGGGACUGAGAUACGGCCCAGACUCCUACGGGAGGCAGCAGUGGGGAAUAUUGCACAAGGGGCGCAAGCCGGAUGCAGCGACGCCGCGUGGGGGAUGACGGCCUUCGGGUUGUAAACUCCUUUCGCUAGGGACGAAGCUUUUUGUGACGGUACCUAGAGAAGAAGCACCGGCUAACUACGUG
rnacentral:rRNA from 1 species